GGGCGCUUAGCUCAGUUGGCUAGAGCAUCUCGUUUACACCGAGGGGGUCGGGGGUUCGAGUCCCUCAGCGCCCA
rnacentral:tRNA from 1 species